GAAUUUGACAAAUUGUUGACACCACCACGUGUCAAAUUCUGGGUGGUCCACGUGUUUUAACAAAAUGAAAUGAAAGAAUGACGAGGCUUAUAUUAUACGAGGUUCUAAAGAGGGGUUUUGAAAUUCAGAUUUCAAAUUUGCAUUUGAGAAAUUGGAACCAAAAACCUAGAGAGAGAAACUCUCCCUCCCGCGACAAAAGCUCCAUCCCCGUUUCCACCUUGACGUGUCGUUCAACGGCCAUCGGAGGAUCACCCAGAGACUCUGUUGCCGAUCAAUGGUGGAAAGUGGUCAGCCCCUGUCGUACCCUGCCGUCUCCAUCCGCUGACGUACCUUGUUGUCUCCCUCCGCCGUCUUGCCUUGUCUUUAUUUUGUGAACUUUAUGUGUUAUUGUUGAUGAAAGAGAUUGGUUGUUCAAAUGAAGUUUGUAUGGACAUUAUGCAUGGUUAUUUAAGAUUUUGUAAAACUGAAUCUGUAGUAACAAACCUGGGAGCAAAGCGCAAAUAAGUGGGUACUUCAGGCAAACUUUCUACACAAGGGUGUCAACUUUGAAAUUGGCCUUGUUUUUUAAUUGAACA
rnacentral:lncRNA from 1 species